UGAAACCAAAAAAACUGAUUUAAUAUCAACAAUCGAUUCUCUCUGUCAGGAGGUCUGAUCACCUCCUCAUCACCUCCUCAUCACCUCCUCUCUGUCAGGAGGUCUGAUCACCUCCUCUCUGUCAGGAGGUCUGAUCACCUCCUCAUCACCUCCUCUCUGUCAGGAGGUCUGAUCACCUCCUCUCUGUCAGGAGGUCUGAUCACCUCCUCAUCACCUCCUCUCUGUCAGGAGGUC